AGCAUACGGGUAUGAGAAAUCAUUCGUUUUUCCUCCCGGAAAGGCAAUUACUUGAGUGGCUACAACACUUGGUGGAACACCACAUCUUCCCGGCCAGGACACAUAGUCGUGUGGUUUACCGAGGUGGAUGUAAAGUGCCCAGAGGAUAGCAUUACUUUACAUGAUGGAGGGGUAGGUCAGGGUUAUCGUUCAUGGAGAUUCUGCGGGAAGGAUGACCGCUCAUUUAUGACCACCACAGAGCAACUUUUCAUCAA